UCGCUCAGUUAUUGGCCCUUGGACUCCCCUGGCACCUCGUGUACAGCAUGAAGUUUUCUGCUAUGAAGAUUUCCAGGGACUCCAGAAUGAAAAACAAGCACUGAGGGAAAGCAAUGCACCAGCAGCUUCAGAUAACAGCGGCUCACUUUGAGAGCAGGUGAAGCAAGUUGGGACAAUGUUGAAGACGUUUGCUCGCACUGGGCAAUCAGGUGCAGAUCAGACCCCAAUGCUGCGACGUCUUGGAGAGUUUGGCGAUGUUGUGCGUAGCAUGGACAACAAAAUGGACACAAUGCUGCAACAUUUUCAGUGCCAAUGUGUCUGUUGGAGUGUUAUCCCUGCCAGGAGAUCCGUUACUCCCCCUAGACACCCAGGGAGAUUUGGCGUUACUUGACAACAGUAUGAGGCAGGAUAAAGAGCUCCAGGAACGAUUUCUUCGGUUUUUGGAAAUCGCAUGUGGAAGGGACCUAAAGACAGCUGUGUGGCGAAUGCUUCAGGGUAUCUUCUCUAAUCACCUUUCCAUCAAUACAAUCUGGACUGGUGUAGGGGAUAAAGCAUGUUUUAGAGACAUGUUCCUGAAGACCAUUGUUCAAAGAGCCAUCCGGAAGAACCCAGCGACCCAGGAUGCCACUGAUGAGGCGAUCCAGGUUAACGUUACACGUUACCUGAAAGAAGCAUCUGACCGUGAAGGUGGAAAAAGUCGCCGCACCGCUGAGAGGGACCCACAGCCGACCCCAUAAACCUAGGCUGACUACUGACACCCCAGCAUCACUGACAACUGGAACCCUUUUUUUAUCCUGCAGUCAGUAACAUCAAGACCUCUAAAA